rnacentral:rRNA from 1 species
CGAGAUUCCCCCAGUAGCGGCGAGCGAACGGGGAGCAGCCCAGAGCCUGAAUCAGUGUGUGUGUUAGUGGAAGCGUCUGGAAAGGCGCGCGAUACAGGGUGACAGCCCCGUACACAAAAAUGCACAUACUGUGAGCUCGAUGAGUAGGGCGGGACACGUGGUAUCCUGUCUGAAUAUGGGGGGACCAUCCUCCAAGGCUAAAUACUCCUGACUGA